UACGUAGGGUGCAAGCGUUAUUCGGAAUUACUGGGCGUAAAGGGCGCGUAGGCGGGUCUGUGUGUCGAUUGUGAAAGCCCUGGGCUUAACCCGGGAAUGGCAGUCGAAACUGCAGAUCUUGAGUAUCUAAGAGGAUGGCGGAAUUCCCGGUGUAGAAGUGAAAUUCGUAGAUAUCGGGAAGAACACCUGAGGCGAAGGCGGCUGUCUGGUGGUGUACUGACGCUGAGGCGCGAAAGCGUGGGGAGCAAACAGG
rnacentral:rRNA from 1 species